UACGAAGGGGGCUAGCGUUGUUCGGAAUUACUGGGCGUAAAGCGCACGUAGGCGGACUAUUAAGUCAGGGGUGAAAUCCCGGGGCUCAACCCCGGAACUGCCUUUGAUACUGGUAGUCUCGAGUCCGGAAGAGGUGAGUGGAACUCCGAGUGUAGAGGUGAAAUUCGUAGAUAUUCGGAAGAACACCAGUGGCGAAGGCGGCUCACUGGCCCGGUACUGACGCUGAGGUGCGAAAGCGUGGGGAGCAAACAGG
rnacentral:rRNA from 1 species